rnacentral:rRNA from 1 species
UACAGAGGUCUCAAGCGUUGUUCGGAUUCAUUGGGCGUAAAGGGUGUGUAGGUGGCGCGCUAAGUCGGGUGUGAAAUUUCGGAGCUUAACUCCGAAACUGCAUUCGAUACUGGCGUGCUUGAGGACUGGAGAGGAGACUGGAAUUCAUGGUGUAGCAGUGAAUGCGUAGAGAUCAUGAGGAAGACCAGUGGCGAAGGCGGUCUCUGGACAGUUCCGUGACGCUGAGGCACGAAGGUCAGGAGCAAACGGG